AGUGAACGCUGGCGGUAGGCCUAACACAUGCAAGUCGAACGGCAGCACAGUAAGAGCUUGCUCUUACGGGUGGCGAGUGGCGGACGGGUGAGGAAUACAUCGGAAUCUACUUUUUCGUGGGGGAUAACGUAGGGAAACUUACGCUAAUACCGCAUACGACCUACGGGUGAAAGCAGGGGAUCUUCGGACCUUGCGCGAUUGAAUGAGCCGAUGUCGGAUUAGCUAGUUGGCGGGGUAAAGGCCCACCAAGGCGACGAUCCGUAGCUGGUCUGAGAGGAUGAUCAGCCACACCGGAACUGAGCCACGGUCCAGACUCCUACGGGAGGCAGCAGUGGGGAAUAUUGGACACUGGGCGCAAGCCUGAUCCAGCCAUACCGCGUGUGUGAAGAAGGCCUUCGGGUUGUAAAGCCCUUUUGUUGGGAAAGAAAAGCAGCAGGUUAAUACCCCGCUGUUCUGACGGUACCCAAAGAAUAAGCACCGGCUAACUUCGUG
rnacentral:rRNA from 1 species